AUUAUUAGAAAUGAAAUGUUAUUCGUUUAUGAAGAUAUCUAGUUUUUUUAGAAAUAAAUUUAAUUUAAAAGUUUUUAAUUUUAUUAAUUAUUUAUAUUAAUUAAUAAAUUUAUAAAUUUUAAUAUUUUAAGGGAUAAGCUUUAAAAUAAAUUUUUAUAAAUUAAUAAAUGAUAAUUUAAAUUAUAUACAUAGAAUUAGUAAUUAUUAAAAAAUUUGUUAUAAAUUAUUUUAUAAUAUAUAUAUUAUUUAUUAUAAUUUUAAAUUUUUAUAAAAAUAUAUUUUUUAAUUUUAUUUAAAAAGUAAUAAUGAUAAAAUUAGUAUAUUUAUAUUAUGUAAAUAUAAUUUAUUUUGAUAAGUUUAUAUAAAGAACUCGGCAAAUAUUUUACUCGCCUGUUUAACAAAAACAUGUCUUUUUGUGUUAUUUUAAAAGUCUAACCUGCCCAAUGAAUAAAUUUAAUGGCCGCAGUAUUUUGACUGUGCAAAGGUAGCAUAAUCAUUAGUCUUUUAAUUGAAGGCUUGAAUGAAUGGUUGGACGAAGUAUAAUCUGUUUCAUUUAAAUUUAUUAUAGAAUUUUAUAUUUUAGUAAAAAAGCUAAAAUAUUUUUAAAAGACGAGAAGACCCUAUAAAUCUUUAUAAUUUAUAUUAUUUUUAUUUUUUAAAUUUAUUUUAUUUAAAUAAUUUUAAUUAUUUUGUUGGGGUGAUAUUAAAAUUUUAUAAACUUUUAAUUUAAUUAUUUCAUUAAUUUAUGUUUUAUUGAUCCAUUAAUAAUGAUUAAAAGAAUAAGUUACUUUAGGGAUAACAGCGUAAUUUUUUUGGAAAGUUCUUAUUGAUAAAAAAGUUUGCGACCUCGAUGUUGGAUUAAGAUAUAAUUUUAGGUGUA
rnacentral:rRNA from 1 species